rnacentral:rRNA from 1 species
GUUGGUUCUACCCGAAGGUGGUGCGCUAAYCRCRRGGAGGYAGCCAACCACGGUAGGGUCAGCGACUGGGGUGAAGUCGUAACAAGGUAGCCGUAGGUGAACCUGCAGAAGGAUCA